rnacentral:misc_RNA from 1 species
UCUCCGUAGGUGAACCUGCGGAGGGAUCAUUACAGAGUUCAUGCCCUACCGGGUAGAUCUCCCACCCUAUGUUAUUAUUACUUUGUUGCUUCGGCGGGCCGUUAGGCUCCGGCCCGACUACCGGCCCCGGCUGGUAAGCGCCCGCCAGAGGACCCAAAACCCUGAAUAUUAGUGUCGUCUGAGUACUAUAUAAUAGUUAAAACUUUCAACAACGGAUCUCUUGGUUCUGGCAUCGAUGAAGAACGCAC